CUUUUUCAUCCGUGACGUAUUUCCCUUCAUGGGUUUGAACAAUCUUCAUAUGGGUGGUUCUCUAUUUGAUUACAGCAACACACCCAUGUUGGCUAAAGUCUUCUACUUGUAGAUCCUUGAGGUUUUGUUGAUGUGUCAAAAGUCAAAACCCCACUUUUGCUUUUGCUUUUGCUACUUUCAGUUGAUGAGGUUGCAGGAGUAAUACCCUUUCUGUGUACUAGACAAGUCAAUUUCGUAAGUAAUGUUUAGUGGAAGAUCUAGUUGUUGCCUGGAAGUUUAGUGUUUUGAUCAAAUAUAUGAAGAAUAAUAAAAAGAGUACCAGAGCCAAGACGAGCAUAUUUAAAAAGAA